AUACGUAGGGUGCGAGCGUUGUCCGGAAUUACUGGGCGUAAAGAGCUCGUAGGUGGUUUGUCGCGUCGUCUGUGAAAUUCCGGGGCUUAACUCCGGGCGUGCAGGCGAUACGGGCAUAACUUGAGUACUGUAGGGGAGACUGGAAUUCCUGGUGUAGCGGUGAAAUGCGCAGUGAUCAGGAGGAACACCGGUGGCGAAGGCGGGGCUCUGGGCAGUAACUGAAGUUGAGGAGCGAAAGAAUGGGUGGCGAACAGGAUUAGAUACCCUGGUAGUCCAUGCCGUAAACGGUGGGCGCUAGGUGUAGGGGUCUUCCACGACUUCUGUGCCGUAGCUAACGCAUUAAGCGCCCCGCCUGGGGAGUACGGCCGCAAGGCUAAAACUCAAAGGAAUUGACGGGG
rnacentral:rRNA from 1 species